AUGUUGCUCUAUCCCUUUGCCCAGCCCAAAUUUCUCCAUUAAUGAAACUAAAACCACAGAUCAUCUGCCAUAGAACUGCACUGUUCUUUUGCUAUGAUUUCUAAGAGAGGUUUCCGUGAAGUAGGCUAGUCAAUGGGUUCUUCAUCAACAAAGUGGAACGUCAUGAAGCACAAACUCACAUGGGAAGAAGAAACGGAGAACCAUGAAAGAGGAGGUUGUGAAGACUCAGGAGGGUCAAUAAGUUGCCAGACUGAAUAAAAGAAACACUCUUUGACAGCACAGCGUCUCUCCGUGCUCACUUCAGCUAUGUAAAUACCGAGACGCUGUGAAAGCGAGGUCAGAAAGCCCAAACCUAUCAUUCUUUUAGCUUCUCAAGCAGACGCUUGUAGCUCCCAGACUGGGAACAAUUUCAAUUUUCUUUUUUGAGGCUCCCAUUCUCCUAAGACUAUGUGCACAUGACCCAAGCUGGGAAGAGCCACUGCAAGGAGCGUGGGAAGAGGUAUUUCAAGAAUGUUUCACGGAGAAGUUGCAAAGAUAUUAAAAUCAUCUUUCUCACUGUGAUUGUUGUGAUGUUUGCACCCUUUUCCCUCAAGCUGUAGAAGAAAAUGUAAAUGGAAAGCAUUCUUUAUACUCUGACAUGGCAAGGAGCUGGCAGCAGCGUGGCAGAGGAAUGAACUGAGGACAUGCUCCAUUGCCAGGGUGUUUACUGGGGCUUUGGCAGCACAGGAAUUUGAUUUGUUAUUUGAGAGCGAACAAAGCUAGUUAGAGGCUUUCAUUUUUUGUCUCUUUUUAUGAUAUAGGAACAAAUGAUUUCAUCAAAAUGAUGAAUUUUGGCCAU
rnacentral:lncRNA from 1 species